GGUAGACUCACCUGUGUAUCUUAAAAAUCCGCAUGUCCUCUGUAGAUCAGUUGGGUCAGAAUCCUUGGGGAGGGGGCCCAGCAUUAAUAUUUUUAAAAAAGCUCUCCAGGUGAUCCUAUAUUUGGGGGUUGUUCCAGGUUAUCUGUGGAGACACCUGGGAGCUUUAAAACUGUUGACGCCCAGGCCCCACCCCCAGAAAUUCUAAUUCAAUUGGCCUGGAAUAUAAUUGACUUACAGCGUGAUGGAGAAUCCAGAUUUUUGUUUCCCGAGUCAUUAUAAUAACGAGAUCCAGGCUCUCUCCAAAUGCGCAGUAUCCCUUUCUCCCUAAAAAGAGGUUUUCUGGAGUUUUUGUCAUGGGACCACGAACCACUUUCCAAUUCCAUCUCGGCUGCUCACGGCUCGAAAAUCAAUACUCAAGAGACAAGCGAUGGUGGGAAAGGUGACAUGAGGAAAUGACAUCCUGCUAACCAGAGAGGCAAGACGGUGCCCGCUUCACUCCAAACCUUCCCGUGAGCCCCGAUGGGUGCGGCACCCUUGGUCGGUGGCCUGAAAACACGUGCCUCCCCUGGAUCCCCUGACCGCGUGGAUGCUGCCACCCGGGCUGGAAGACGCGUCCUCGCUUCUUGCUGUAGGUGUGCAAAGGAGACCAGUCAGGAGGCUUUGCUCUUCCUCUUUGAAGUUGUCACAGCACAUUUAGUCAUUAACUCGCCCAAUCUUCAGAACAAACAGCUAGACCGGACUUGUUUAAGCCGAGUCUUGGAGCGUAGUUAAGCCUCGGAAUUUCCAGGAGAGCAGGUCUGGCUCAUAAUCUUGGGUCCGGAACCUGCUAGCGUGUGAAAGCUGAUCAAUUCCUUCAUCUCCUUGAAGUUGGUUUCCUUGUCGGUUCAGGGGAGGCCUCCUAUCCAUCGCAUAGGUUGUUGGGAGGGGAAAUGGGUCAAACGUUUAGGAAAGCACCUGGUGUAUAGGUAGUGUCUCAUGAAUGUAUUUGUUGCCACUGGGUGAGGGAUGGGCAUCACGACGUGUCCACCCACGAACUUCACAGCCAGCCUCUGCCGGUGUGGGCUGGACUUCUCAGACCUCUCUCUCUGUUACUCCUGAGAAGGCAAACACCAGUGCUGUACUUAUCGGGUAUCCCUUGACUUCCCCAAAAUGCACUGGAUUUGGUUCCCUUCUGGACUGCGGGACAAUACCCAGCUGUUGCAGGUUUGGGGUAACAGGGCCUGUUAACAACAGCAAUCAUUGAAAAAUGGUUGUCAGUAUUUACAGCCAGUUUCUUAGAAUAAAUUAUCCCCUAAAGAGAUUAGUGGUUGUGUCAACAUGCCCCAUGAGGACCCAUUAGGGACGACUCUGUCCAUUUGGAUCAGAAGGUACUCUUUGAUAGUCUUGGUUUAGAAACAAUUCUCUUCAUGCUUGUAGUGUUUUCCUGCCACAGAGCAGAAGUGACAGGAGCACCUUGGCCAGGGACAGUAGUUUAGGGGGACCUGAUGCCUCCCUAGAGUCGUCCAGAUCACUAGUUGGGAGAUCGCCCUGUACAGCAAGACAGUCAGUCCUCCCUAAGCGUUUCCAGUAACCAAGAUUCGAGUGAAUUCUCCUAAUAUCUCUGGAAGCAGCAUGAUUCCUGCGAGUUUCCUCUGGCCGGUCUGGGUUUCAAAUAAGAAUGGAACUUCCUGUUUCCU